GUGCCAGCAGCCGCGGUAACACGUAGGGUCCGAGCGUUGUCCGGAAUUACUGGGCGUAAAGCGCGCGCAGGCGGUCUGGUCAGUCGAUGGUGAAAGCCCCACGCUCAACGUGGGAAGGUCCGUCGAGACGGCCAGACUGGAGGCAGGGAGAGGUCGGUGGAAUUCCGGGUGUAGUGGUGAAAUGCGUAGAGAUCCGGAGGAACACCAGAGGCGAAGGCGGCCGACUGGACCUGACCUGACGCUGAGGCGCGAAGGCGUGGGGAGCGAACGGGAUUAGAAACCCCGGUAGUCC
rnacentral:rRNA from 1 species